AUGAACGCUGGCGGCGUGCCUAAUACAUGCAAGUCGCGCGAACAGACGAGGAGCUUGCUCCUCUAACGUUAGCGGCGGACGGGUGAGUAACACGUGGAUAACCUACCUAUAAGACUGGGAUAACUUCGGGAAACCGGAGCUAAUACCGGAUAAUAUAUUGAACCGCAUGGUUCAAUAGUGAAAGACGGUUUUGCUGUCACUUAUAGAUGGAUCCGCGCCGCAUUAGCUAGUUGGUAAGGUAACAGCUUACCAAGGCAACGAUGCGUAGCCGACCUGAGAGGGUGAUCGGCCACACUGGAACUGAGACACGGUCCAGACUCCUACGGGAGGCAGCAGUAGGGAAUCUUCCGCAAUGGGCGAAAGCCUGACGGAGCAACGCCGCGUGAGUGAUGAAGGUCUUCGGAUCGUAAAACUCUGUUAUUAGGGAAGAACAAAUGUGUAAGUAACUAUGCACGUCUUGACGGUACCUAAUCAGAAAGCCACGGCUAACUACGUG
rnacentral:rRNA from 1 species